rnacentral:tRNA from 1 species
GGGCCUGUAGCUCAGCGGUUAGUAGCUAUCCGCUCAUAACGGAUUGGUCGCAGGUUCGAAUCCUGCCGGGCCCA